rnacentral:rRNA from 1 species
AGCGACAGGCUUAACACAUGCAAGUCGAGGGGCAGCACAGGUAGCAAUACCGGGUGGCGACCGGCGCACGGGUGAGUAACGCGUAUGCAACUUACCUAUCAGAGGGGGAUAACCCGGCGAAAGUCGGACUAAUACCGCAUGAAGCAGGGGCCCCGCAUGGGGAUAUUUGCUAAAGAUUCAUCGCUGAUAGAUAGGCAUGCGUUCCAUUAGGCAGUUGGCGGGGUAACGGCCCACCAAACCGACGAUGGAUAGGGGUUCUGAGAGGAAGGUCCCCCACAUUGGUACUGAGACACGGACCAAACUCCUACGGGAGGCAGCAGUGAGGAAUAUUGGUCAAUGGCCGAGAGGCUGAACCAGCCAAGUCGCGUGAGGGAUGAAGGUUCUAUGGAUCGUAAACCUCUUUUAUAAGGGAAUAAAGUGCGGGACGUGUCCCGUUUUGUAUGUACCUUAUGAAUAAGGAUCGGCUAACUCCGUGCCAGCAGCCGCGGUAAUACGGAGGAUCCGAGCGUUAUCCGGAUUUAUUGGGUUUAAAGGGUGCGUAGGCGGCCUUUUAAGUCAGCGGUGAAAGUCUGUGGCUCAACCAUAGAAUUGCCGUUGAAACUGGGGGGCUUGAGUAUGUUUGAGGCAGGCGGAAUGCGUGGUGUAGCGGUGAAAUGCAUAGAUAUCACGCAGAACCCCGAUUGCGAAGGCAGCCUGCCAAGCCAUUACUGACGCUGAUGCACGAAAGCGUGGGGAUCAAACAGGAUUAGAUACCCUGGUAGUCCACGCAGUAAACGAUGAUCACUAGCUGUUUGCGAUACACUGUAAGCGGCACAGCGAAAGCGUUAAGUGAUCCACCUGGGGAGUACGCCGGCAACGGUGAAACUCAAAGGAAUUGACGGGGGCCCGCACAAGCGGAGGAACAUGUGGUUUAAUUCGAUGAUACGCGAGGAACCUUACCCGGGUUUGAACGCAUUCGGACCGAGGUGGAAACACCUUUUCUAGCAAUAGCCGUUUGCGAGGUGCUGCAUGGUUGUCGUCAGCUCGUGCCGUGAGGUGUCGGCUUAAGUGCCAUAACGAGCGCAACCCUUGCCACUAGUUACUAACAGGUAAAGCUGAGGACUCUGGUGGGACUGCCAGCGUAAGCUGCGAGGAAGGCGGGGAUGACGUCAAAUCAGCACGGCCCUUACAUCCGGGGCGACACACGUGUUACAAUGGCGUGGACAAAGGGAAGCCACCUGGCGACAGGGAGCGAAUCCCCAAACCACGUCUCAGUUCGGAUCGGAGUCUGCAACCCGACUCCGUGAAGCUGGAUUCGCUAGUAAUCGCGCAUCAGCCAUGGCGCGGUGAAUACGUUCCCGGGCCUUGUACACACCGCCCGUCAAGCCAUGGGAGCCGGGGGUACCUGAAGUCCGUAACCGCGAGGAUCGGCCUAGGGUAAAACUGGUGACUGGGGCUAAGUCAUAAC